CCUACGGGCGGCAGCAGUGGGGAAUAUUGGACAAUGGGCGAAAGCCUGAUCCAGCCAUGCCGCGUGUGUGAAGAAGGCCUUCGGGUUGUAAAGCACUUUCAGUGGGGAAGAAAGCCUUGGGGCUAAUACCCUCGAGGAAGGACAUCACCCACAGAAGAAGCACCGGCUAACUCCGUGCCAGCAGCCGCGGUAAUACGGAGGGUGCGAGCGUUAAUCGGAAUUACUGGGCGUAAAGCGCGCGUAGGCGGUCUGAUAAGCCGGUUGUGAAAGCCCCGGGCUCAACCUGGGAACGGCAUCCGGAACUGUCAGGCUAGAGUGCAGGAGAGGGAGGUAGAAUUCCCGGUGUAGCGGUGAAAUGCGUAGAGAUCGGGAGGAAUACCAGUGGCGAAGGCGGCCUUCUGGACUGACACUGACGCUGAGGUGCGAAAGCGUGGGUAGCAAACAGGAUUAGAUACCCGAGUAGUC
rnacentral:rRNA from 1 species